AGUGAACGCUGGCGGUAGGCCUAACACAUGCAAGUCGAACGGCAGCACAGUAAGAGCUUGCUCUUACGGGUGGCGAGUGGCGGACGGGUGAGGAAUACAUCGGAAUCUACUUUUUCGUGGGGGAUAACGUAGGGAAACUUACGCUAAUACCGCAUACGACCUACGGGUGAAAGCAGGGGAUCUUCGGACCUUGCGCGAUUGAAUGAGCCGAUGUCGGUUUAGCUAGUUGGCGGGGUAAAGGCCCACCAAGGCGACGAUCCGUAGCUGGUCUGAGAGGAUGAUCAGCCACACUGGAACUGAGACACGGUCCCGACUCCUACGGGAGGCAGCAGUGGGGAAUAUUGGACAAUGGGCGCAAGCCUGAUCCAGCCAUACCGCGUGGGUGAAGAAGGCCUUCGGGUUGUAAAGCCCUUUUGUUGGGAAAGAAAAGCAGCAGGUUAAUACCCCGCUGUUCUGACGGUACCCAAAGAAUAAGCACCGGCUAACUUCGUG
rnacentral:rRNA from 1 species